CAACGUAGGUAACCUGCCCAUGUGUCUGGGAUAACUGCUGGAAACGGUAGCUAAAACCGGAUAGGUAUACGGAGCGCAUGCUCUGUAUAUUAAAGCGCCCUUCAAGGCGUGAACAUGGAUGGACCUGCGGCGCAUUAGCUAGUUGGUGAGGUAACGGCCCACCAAGGCGAUGAUGCGUAGCCGGCCUGAGAGGGUAAACGGCCACAUUGGGACUGAGACACGGCCCAA
rnacentral:rRNA from 1 species